AUUGUUGUUAGUUGUAUUUAAUAUGUUUGAGUUAACUUAUAUUUUCUUUUGUUUUCAUUUUUGAAAAUGGUACAUGUCAGGGGUGGAGCUAUCCAGUUCCUGG